ACUGAUUCUGUUCAGUUUUCUAUUUGUUUAACAUUUUCCACAGCAAAAAGUUGACCAAAGGAUACACACAGACAUGCAGAUACACACACACACACACACACACACACACACACACUCCUCCACUGACUUGUCUAUGUACACAGUAUCUCUAGAAAAAUUACAAACAUAACCUUAAAAUAUAAUUUUAAUUUUUUUUUUAAAGUGAGAACAUGGAGGUCAAAUAAGUAAGUAGCCUAUGACCUGAAACACAGCAAGUGCUUAGGAAACCAUCUUCCUCUCUCCUGGCCCCUCAUCCUUCCUCACUCCAUUUCCAUCCUCCUUUCCUUUCACUUUCUGCCUCAUCCUCUCCCUUUUUUCCUACCCACUUUCUCCUUCCCUCCCUCCAAGUUUCCUGCCUUCCUUUUUCUCUGAUAUCAUGCCUUUUCUUGCACCAUGCCAAGGAUGGAGCCAGAAAUAACACCAAAAGCAGAAACUCAAGCCUUGGAAUUACAAGGUACAUGCAAAGGAAUUUUUUGUGAUACGCCUGCCUUUCCCAAAGGACUCAUCUGUUUUUUUUUUCUUUUUUCUUUUUCUUUUUUUUUUUUUUUUAGACAGAGUCUUGCUCUUUCGCCCAGGCUGGAGUGC
rnacentral:lncRNA from 1 species